CGCUCGCCGCUCCGCCUCGUCUCUGGCCGCGACCGAAUGGAUUCUCGCGCCCCCUUCCCCAAUUGCAGCGGAAGCCCCUCUGCAACCUUUCUGCAACGCCUCGCCUCCCGCGCCCAUCAUCACAUCACCAGAUCCCGACCGCAGAGCCGAUGUCGCCCAUCUUUUCCGUCACUUCGACACAGUCGCGCCGCCUGGUCUUCGCUACCCGACGAUUCCUCCUCCGCCAACCCUGACCACGGCAGCAACAGCUCCUUUCCCCGCCCUGUCAGAAGCCGCCCGACAAUCUGUUGCUCCGCGCUCGCCCGCGCGCCCACGGUUGC
rnacentral:lncRNA from 1 species